CAAUCAAGGGUGUGAGACUUACACUUGUUGUCAACUGUACUGACAAGGGAAGUUCACUGUUGGCGUUGACUUCCGCCAAGCACAAGUCUACGGCAGGAGUUCCCCAAUUAGGAUGGUUGUCUGAGAAGAUGAAAGUCUCCGAAAAUGAAAAACGGAGCCUUUAUUCGCCAAGACUGAAAGAGUGCAGAGGGGUGAAGAGAGAGAGCAGGGGUGGAAGGAAGUUCCAGACGUGGAGAAGAAACCUGCAAGAAUCCUAUUGUGAAGAGGGAAUUCUUUGUAACAGCAACAAAAAGUCGCCUGUGUGGAAGGGGUCAGUGGGCAGCCAAAAAUGUAAUUGUUGAGAAAUUGGUGUGGACACACCAUGGCAUUUUCCCCCACAGCCUGCCCAAUGCACCAGGGACACUAAUCAGCGAUAUUCGCAUUCUUAGAGGCCUGACCUGCUGCUGUGACAAUUGAGGGCUGGAGUUGAGGGCCCGCUGGUGAAGCCCCCGCCAUCCCUGAAGCCUCAUGCUACCCUGGAGCACUCAGCACCGUUCCUGUGAGCAGUGACAGGAGACAGCUAGUGCUUGCUGUCACCACCAGACUGUUAAAGGAAAACAGAAAGUCUGCAAACAAAACUGCCAGCUCCUCCACAGUCCAGCCCAGGCCCUGUGCAUGUGGGAGGGGGCUCUUUUCACUGGGGACAGUCAUCCCCAGCGGGAGGGUCCCAGACAGGACUGUCUGAGAAACCAUCAAUGUCUACAAGGACCCCCUUCCAUCCCAAACACUUCCUGGCCAGACACAGUCGGUUGAAAAUAAGCAGAAUCCCAAGGAUCUAGUAUUUGAAGGGAAAGUCGAUAGCAGAAUGUCGGGUCUCUCAAUAUCCUUGUCAAGAAGCCAGACACAGAGGGAUCAGGAACCAGCAGCAAGAGUGGAAGAAGCAGAAAGUAAGAGGACUAACGUGCUGGGGUCCAUAAGCACCGAGAAGCAAAAGCCACAGAGCCGAUUGGCUACGUCCUCAGCACUUAGGGAGCCCAGAGUGUUGAGACAAGAUGACUUCCGUGCCCUAAGGUGAAGAAACACGAACAUGGUCAGAUUUUUAAAAAGCAUUAAGUUUCCCAAAGCCAAAACAAUCUGAUCAGUACAGGGAGGGAUUUUUCUUCAACAAUGUUUAAAAAUUGAGCUGCCAAGUGUCUGCUCUCCCAGAACGGCCGUCAGCAGUAGAUUCAAACAACAAAAUGAACUUUUCAAUUUCGAGCCUGGCUGGAAAUUAUUGUAACUAGUUCCUCUGAUGAUAUAAAUUAGUUUGAGGAUUGUGUUAUAACUCAUGGUGUACUCUAUCCUGAGACAGUAUAGAACACUAUAAUAAAUGACUGACAGUUGCCCACCCAAGUUUGCUUGUUGCCCAAAGAAUAAUCAUGUUUUGCUUAUAGAUGAAUCUGCUUUUAAACCAGAAGCUGAUAGUCCAUCACAACGUCUCCUUCUCUUUUAUGUUGAUUUGAAAAGAGAGAAUAUAUUUAAAACUAAAAGUCUACAAUAGCCCUAAUUUGCAUAUUCUGAACACCGAUCUUCUGGAAUUCUAUUGCCUUUGUUCAAGGCAAAAAAUAUGAAUGUACCCAGGGAUUUGUGGGAUUGACAGAACCAACUCUGCUUGACAAAUGGAGAAAAUUCCAUGCUCAACAUGAAUGGGAAACACCAGGUCAGUGUGACCAGCUGCUGUGUGCACUGUGGCUCUCUGGUACAGGCCCACAAAUCAUGAGGAGUCACAGUUGCCCAAAGCCUGUGGCAUUCACCAAGUGGCCGAAGACAAGACGAGACUUUGUUGUGCUCUGGGAGAGCAGAGUGAGGCCUCCAUAUGUUAUCAUAGUCUCAUUGCUACAAAAAUAGCUUUGGGGAUGGAUAGCACUUCCGGGAAGGAAGGAGGAAUGGAGGGUGACCAUUUGGCGAGUGAUUAACGAGGUGGAGGCUCUGUGCACAACCUAGACCAUCCCGGUGCCUGAGACCAUCCUGAAAUAACGGUGCAAUCCGUUACCAGAGAGGCUACGAGGUCUGCGUGUUGUUUAUUGGUGGAUAAGGAAUUCUUAAUAAAAACGGCAGGAAUUCAAGAGGUCCUGAGUGGCACAUGAAACAAAAGAGGAAGAAAUCUUAUCUGCUUGGGAUCCCAGAGGGCUAUUUAGGACUGGUUUAAUGUAACUAGUGUCACAGGAGGGUCAGAGGAACACGGCUAUGUGGCUCAAAAUGCUAUUUCCACCCUGCUCAUUUCUCUGUGCCUUGGGAAGCCAGGCAGCUAGAGGAAGAUGCUCCCUUCUCCAGGGCAGGAGGCUGAUGGUGUGAUCUCUGGGGCCAUGAGGCAGCUCUCCCCUCUCUGCAUUUCCACCCAGUGCUGUCUCCUCUGGGUGACAGAGGAAGCCUGUCCUCUCCUCACUUCACAGGAUAAACAGUUCCCCCUUGACAUUCUUCUUGGCUUCUGGUGGCCUAUGCGUCCUGGCUUCGUGCCAGCCUCACUGGUGAUUCCUGAUCGUUCCUACACCUCUUCCUGCUUCUUAGUCCGUUACUCAGUUCUUCAUCUUUAUCUCUGCUCUCUCUAUGUAGCCUCAAUCCUUUCUGGGCUCCUGUAGUCUCUUGUCGUGUAGAUGGUUAUAGAUAAAUAAUCCCCAAAUUUAGUUAUCUACCAUGUUCACUCUCCCUCAGACUCCAGGCUUACAUCUCCAACUGCCCAUUCAAUAGUAGGGCUUGGUGGUGUACCUGCCAUCCAUCUCAACACGUCCCAGGACUGCUUUUCAGAGCUUCACCCCAGGCCCUUUGCCCUCUCAGUCUGUCGAUGAAGUCUCCACCCUUCCAGGUGUUCAGGCGAAAGAUCUGAGGAUAAUUCUUCCCUAUUUCUCUCACAUCCUCUAUUCAAUCUGUCAGGAAAGUUUGAUGGCUCUGCCUUCAAGAUUCAAUAUCUAACCAGAACACAACCAUUUUCCGGCAAAAGUGACAGCUAAGGGUGACCCACUACCCAUCUCUCUUACUUCUCCAACCUCUUAAUAGGUCUGCCUGUUGCUCGAAAGAGUUGAUUCUCAUUUGGAAAAAGCCAAACUCUACUUUUAAUCUAUAAGGGGUGGGGAGAAGGCUCCAUUCGCAGAGUGCUUGCUCUACAGCUUGAGGACCUCGGGUCACCCACAUCCCCAUAAAAAGCCGGGCACAGCAGCAGCUUGCACCUGAAAUCCCAGCACCGAGACAGACGAGAGGAUUCCUAAGGCUCACUGGCCAGUCAGUGUAGCCAACCAGUGAGCUAUAGGUUCAGUGAGAGACCCUGUCAUUAAAAAUAAGGCAGAGAUGGGAUUGAGGAAGUUGAAACAGCUGUUCCCGGGACACAAGCAACCUUCUCUCAAAUGCAAACUAAUCUUCUUGGCACCUGGAUUCUUAAGACCCUUUCUCCCCUGAGGCUCAGACCAGGAGAUUGCAAACUUUCCAACUGCAACUUCCUGCCUGCCUUUAUUUCUACACAACACUUGUCAGCUCUCACAGAUCCCUGAGGUGCACUUCUCUCAGGCUGGACAUCACCUGCCAUUGUCUGUCUCUCUCCUUGCCUCCAAGAAGACUAGAUCUUUUCCUUUUUCUUUUUCUUUUCCUCCCCACUCCCACCACCCGCUUACUUGAGGUGUUCCAAGUGCCUGGUCCUGUGCCUGCCACACAGAGGUUGUUUGAUUAUUCUUUCUGGAAUAAAUGAAUGAACACUUGGCUAUCGCUGUUAGAAUAAGAUUGAUUAAACUUGA